UACGAGGGGGGCGAGCGUUGUUCGGAAUUAUUGGGCGUAAAGGGUGCGUAGGCGGUUUGAUAAGUCCGUUGUGAGAGCCCCGAGCUCAACUUGGGAAUUGCAGUGGAUACUGGCAGGCUGGAGUACGGUAGAGGAAGGUGGAAUUCCCGGUGUAGCAGUGAAAUGCGUAGAUAUCGGGAGGAACACCAGUGGCGAAGGCGGCCUUCUGGACCAGUACUGACGCUCAUGCACGAAAGCGUGGGGAGCAAACAGG
rnacentral:rRNA from 1 species